UUUAGAGAGCAGAUCUUCAUCAUCAUCAUGAUAUAUUCCUCGUGGAGCUACAUCGAAUUCCUCCAUCUAUCUAACUAUGUAAUCACUUACGACUCCUCCUUCUCCUGGACGUCGCAAUCAACACACAGGCAAUCACUUUUGUUUAUCUUCUUCUAAUGCUUUGAGAAUACACGAUCGGAGAAAAUCGAUUCGAAGAAGUCUCAUCAAUCCUUCAAGAUUCAGGCUUACCCACCAGACAUUAUUUGUUCGAGUUCACACUAGUUUCUGCAGUCGGAGUCCAUUCUUCUUCUAUAUUGGAUGCUCUUUUCAACAAAUUUUCAGAUUAGUGACUAAGUCUGACUAUUUAACGUUGCGAAAUGGUUUCAUAAGUGUUUAUAUGGGUCCAGGAAGUAAAUUUUACUUCCAAAAGUAUAUCCAAACGUCAUUGGAGGAUGAUUUCAAAACAGUUGUAGGAGUAAGUCAUGUCUUGUGGGCGUCAUUUGUGAUCUUCUUGCUCCUGAAUAUUAAUGG